ensembl:lncRNA
GGAACAUUUCAGAAAAGCUUCUUAUGUGACACACUGGGAAAAUAAGCAUUCACACGCUGCCAAGACUGGAAGGUUGAGCCUGUAGAGAACUGGACUGCUGGGGAGGUCACAGAUUUAUGAUCUGACAUCAGUUCUGUCGUGGGUUACCUCCUAGUGAAGAGGGUUGGGGUUGACAAGAGAAUCAAGCCAGUAUUUGACUUCACAAGUGGUUAAGACCCUUCCCCACAAACCUGUGCCACCAAGGGGCCCAUCCUGGCCAGCCAAAUCACCAGUAACAUCGCCAUAACUUCACGGGUGCUCAUCAUGGCAGGAAGCAGAACAAAAGUGCUCCAAUCCUCUGAUAAUCUUCAUGGCUCACCUCUGGGCCCGCUCCAACAGCUCCACAUCUCUUCUGUGCUGGAGGCCCCCACCUCUGGGCCCGCUCCAACAGCUCCACAUCUCUUCUGUGCUGGAGGCCCCCACCUCUGGGCCUGCUCCAACAGCUCCACAUCUCUUCUGUGCUGGAGGCCCCAGACCUGGAUGCAGUACUCCAGAUGAGUCCUCAUGAGGACGGAACAGAGGAGGACAAUCACCUCCCUCUCCCUGCUGGCCACCCCUAUUUUGACACAGCCCAGGAUACUGUUGGCUUUCCAGGCUACAAGAACACACUACUGGUUUGUGUUGAGCUUUUCAUCCACCAGCACCUCCAAGUCCUUUUCCUCAAGGCUGCUCUCAGUGGGCACACAGAUAUGUGAUCAACACCGGAAUGGUAAAGACUCUGGCACUUUGCACUUCUGUUCUUGUUGCUGCCCUUAGCUUGUUUGUCUACUUGGACCACAGACUGUGCAAGUGAGGGACUUAGUCCAACAUGCGUUGGAAGAACAAAAUGUGGUGAAAGCUGAGUACUGGGA